UACGUAGGCAGCGAGCGUUGUUCGGAGUUACUGGGCGUAAAGGGUGUGUAGGCGGUCUUUUAAGUUUGGUGUGAAAUCUCCCGGCUUAACCGGGAGGGUGCGCCGAAUACUGAGGGACUAGAGUGCGGGAGAGGAAAGUGGAAUUCCUGGUGUAGCGGUGAAAUGCGCAGAUAUCAGGAAGAACACCCGUGGCGAAGGCGGCUCUCUGGAACGCAACUGACGCUGAGG
rnacentral:rRNA from 1 species